UUUAAAAAAUAUAAAUUAUAAAUCGUAAGACUACACAUAUAUGUGUAGAUGGAUACAAUAUGAAUGUUAAUACAAAAAACUGUGGUAAACAAUAUUGUAAUGGUCUGAUUUAAUAUAUAUAGAUAUGUGGUGUAAGUUAAAAACAAAAGGAAAAAAAAAAGAGAGAAAAGAAAAUUCAAAAAAAAAAAAAAAAAAAGAUGGGACCCACUAAUGGUUUAAGUGGUCAUAAGACUCUCUGUAAUCUAAUUCCGUCUCUCUCGUUUAUGUCUCUGUGUCUUCCUCUCUGCUCUUUGUUUUUUUUUAUUUUUUUACAAAUUCAAGGCUUGAUUUCUCCCUCAUUUGUUAGUGUUUUUAAGUGCCGUUUGCGGCAAAACGGAGAGCACGGCGAGUUCUACACAUGUGUACCAGCAAUUUCAGUUUUGAGCAACCUAGGGAGUCCGAAAAUUAAGACCCAUUUUGAAGAUUUGAGGUGAAAAUUGGGAGUUUUGCUUAAAAGUGAGAACGAUGUCACGGUGUGAAGAACUAAGGGAAGUUGGUUCUAGGCCAACAAGGGGUGAUGUUGGCGAGAGCUCGAGCUCUAAUCCGGCGGAGCCAGUUGACGAGGACACACUUCUUAGGGAUUUGAUUGCCCCUAGAAGUUUCCCUAUAAGUAGGGAUAACGUGGAAGCACCCGUUGAAGAGGGUGAAAGUUCGGCGAAACUAGUAUAAAUCGCUUGUUGCAGAAGGCCUUGAGGGCCACUAUUACUACUCAGCCGCAGCCGAUACCGCAGCCGGUACCACAACCGGUAGUGUAAGUAGAGGAGACGCCAGCACAGAAGCGUCUUAAGAUUAUUAAAGUUUCUCAGUUGAUGCCAGUGAUGUUUGAAAGUGGUGCAGAUCCCAUGGUAGUGGAUGACCAGAUGGAGUAAGUUGAAACUCAAUUGACUUCUAUGGAUGUGGCGGAGGAUCACUUGAAAAUCAUCCUAGCCACUUACAAGUUUACAAAGGAUGCCAAGUUUUGGUGGAAAUCGAUCAUAAAUCAGUAUAAGAUUGAAGAGAUGAGUUGGGAUAGGUUUAAGGAGCUGUUAUAUAAGAAGUAUUUUCCUGCUCCCAAGAGGUGGGAGUUAAAGGAUCAGUUUAUUGACCUUAUCCAAGGCAAUAUGUCAGUGACAGAGUACGAGAACAAGUUCACUUCUCUUUCCCGCUUUGCUGCAGAGAUGGUGAGUAAUGAAGUUGAUAAGGUUCGGAAGUUUAUCUCCGGACUUGACUACAAGAUGAGGCCGUUGUUAACAGCAUAAAGCAUCAAGGUUUAUUCUGAGGCAGUGGAAAGGGCAUUGAUGCUAGAGGCGGAGGCCAAAGAUAAAGAUGCAAGAAGGGAAUAGUGGAAACAAAAGAGGAAUGCAGGGUCAUUUCCAGAGGGACCUUCAGGGAAGAGGAAUAGGGGUGGUUCAUCUCAGUUUCAGGGGCGGCCGUCUGCAUGAUCUACUCCUACCACUCUAUGCCAGCUGGGUCAGAUAAGAGUGCAGUUGUUUGUUAUCAGUGUCAGCAGCCUGGACAUUACAAGUUCAGAUGUCCUAUGAACUCAACCACAGUUUCUGCACCAUCGAGAGCUUGUUAUGGGUGUGGCCAGCAGGGCCAUCUGAUUCGGGAUUGUCCUACUUGAGGACCAGGCACUGGUAGUUGCAGAGGGUCAUAGCAGAGGCCGUCACAGUCGGCUACGGUUCAGUCAGGUUUCAGACCACCGCCACCACCACAGCCUGCCAUAUCUUCUCAGGGUUCACGAUCAGCUAGGAGGGAUACUUCUACUGUGUCGGCACAACAGUCUGGUGUUCAGAUUGGUAGUUCUCAAGCACCGCAGGGACGUGUUUUUGCACUUGCACUGACUGAUGCAUCUCCUGAAUCUUCAGUUCUCCGAGGAAACGGGAAAGAAGUGGCGGAUGACAUUCUACCACAGGCUUAAUAUGGAUUAGGAGCUUAUUUUGUUGUUUUGUACUUAUGUUGUAAAACAUGGAAAUUUGAUAUUAAUCUUGUAUUUUGAGACUGUAAUUAUGAUAUCUGGAUGAUAUAGUAUGUGGUUGUACCACCAUGGAAUGUAUUAUAUGUUUAUUGUAUUGGGACAGGUUAAAAAUACAUUUAAACAUGUUGUAGGACGAUUUUUAGCAGAGGUCAUGCCGAUUUUUUAUUUUAUUUUAAUUUUGGCAUCA